CCUACGGGAGGCUGCAGUGAGGAAUAUUGGUCAAUGGACGGAAGUCUGAACCAGCCAUGCCGCGUGCAGGAAGAAGGCUCUAUGAGUUGUAAACUGCUUUUGUACAAGGGUAAAACUGAAUACGUGUAUUCAGCUGAAAGUACUGUACGAAUAAGGAUCGGCUAACUCCGUGCCAGCAGCCGCGGUAAUACGGAGGAUCCAAGCGUUAUCCGGAUGUAUUGGGUUUAAAGGGAACGUAGGCCGGUCUUUAAGUGUGCCGUGAAAUUUUAUGGCUCAACCAUGCGAGUGCGGCUCGAACUGGAGAGCUUGAGUGCGCGGAAGGCAGGUGGAAUUCGUGGUGUAGCGGUGAAAUGCUUAGAUAUCACGAAGAACCCCGAUUGCGAAGGCAGCCUGCCGCAGGAUUACUGACGCUGAAGCUCGAAAGCGCGGGUAUCGAACAGGAUUAGAUACCCUAGUAGUC
rnacentral:rRNA from 1 species